rnacentral:rRNA from 1 species
UGCCAGCCGCCGCGGUAAUACGGAGGGUGCAAGCGUUAUCCGGAAUCACUGGGUUUAAAGGGUGCGUAGGCGGCACUAUAAGUCAGGGGUGAAAGCCCACAGCUCAACUGUGGAAUUGCCUUUGAUACUGUAGAGCUUGAAUCAGGUUGAGGUCGGCGGAAUGUGACAUGUAGCGGUGAAAUGCAUAGAUAUGUCAUAGAACACCAAUUGCGAAGGCAGCUGGCUAGACCUGUAUUGACGCUGAGGCACGAAAGCGUGGGGAGCGAACAGGAUUAGAUA